CCUGGAGGCUUCGAGGGAGGUGGACGGUAUGGCGGUCUCCGGCGGCGUCCCGUCUCCCUCUAGCCCAGGAGCCUCGGGGUGUCAGAGGCCGACUCCCCCCGAGCCCCCGGGGGUCGCUAGUCUUGCCCUGGCCGCAAAGAUGGAGGUUUCGCCCCCCUCAGCCCCGCCGCCGACGGUCGGGCAGGGGGGAGGCCGGGCCGGGCCGGGCCUUCCCAGAGGCCUUUGCUUCCUCCGCCCGCCCAGAAGAGGUGGCCAUUCAGUCAUUCAUUCAUCCAUCCAUUCAUUCAGUCAAUCGUACUGGCCCAACCGUCGCCCCCUGACACGGCCCCCGACGACCGUCCCCACAGGAGCAAGAUGGCCUUCGUCACUGGAGAUGGCCUGAGGAUCGGCUUCCGCAUUGCUGAGAUUUUUCAAGAGGUCUCGGGAGCCUGCUUUGUUCUCCACUUGGUCUCGCCCCGCCCCCAGAGGUGGGGCUGGAUGUCUGGCGGUUAGCAUCCUUGCUCCUUGGGCCCCCCAGACAUGGCUGUCACGCCGCCAUCUCCAGCAGGAGCCUGCUGGGAGUGUUUGAGACGCCAUGACCUGACACCUGGCUGUGGAGUGGAGCCCCUAAAACAUCCGGGUCAACAGCCUGGCCCCCCGGCCCAUCAGUGGAACCGAGGGCAUGUGGCAUCUUGACUCUGCCUCCAGCAGCCGCUCAGUCUGGGCUGUUUGGUUCCAGGAAGUUUCCAGAGCUGUCCUGGAGAUUACCCCUCCAAGGCUGUGGAGCAAGACGAAGAUCGCCCAUGACGCCCUGCAUCUGGCCAGCCCCCGGCAUCCUAUGUCAGUGGGUGCCACCCUGAUGGUGGACGGCGGCAGCUGGCUGACGUCCCCAGUGGCUCCUUGGCUCGGCAGCUGCGGGAUUCUCGGCUAAACUCUAGGCAGUUGGACGGCCAAUGGGAAAGAAUGGUGAUGCUGGGAGCCCCCCAGUUCUCUGACUCUCGACCUCUCGACCUCUCAUCCUGAGCCAACGCUGCCCCUGCUCCAUCCAGUUCUCCGUCCAGGGGGCCGACGGGUGUGAUCUUCCAGCGCCGAGGAGAAAACCAAAUCUCUGCUCUUCUCUGGCCGUGAGCCGAAUACCUUUUCUCCCCGGCUGCUGGUUGCGAGGUCCCUCCUGGCUGUUUGGGGGAGGUGGGGAUCAGGGGCGUGGGACAAGCAGCCUUGCAGUUAAGCACCGGCUUGGGCUAAUCUCAGGAACAAAGUUUUGGGGAUGGGAGGGCUUUGACAUUCCAGGAAGUGGGGGCUGUUGAUGGGAUGGGGAAGUUUGGAUGUAUUUUCAGAAAGGGGACCGGAUGGCGCCGCUAGCCCCGGUCUCUGGCUCUGUGUGCCAGGGUGUCAGACCCAGUCUUCAGUCUGUCAGUCAAUCAGUGGCAUUUAUUAAGGAGCCAACAGAGUGCCAAGCCUGGAACUAGGUGCUGCUGUCUGGUUCUUAAAAAGCAUCGAGUUGUAGCAGCACAGCACAAGGGGUUUGUUUUUGCAGUAGUGAUAUGGUUUUGUAUAAGUGAGGACAGAGUCUCUUGCCCUAAAAGUGAGCUGAGCCUCAUCACCAAAAGUUGGGAGAGGUAGUUAUGGUCUGCGGUGGGUGUGUUCUUCCCUCACUCUAUCAACAGGGUCCAGUCAACUGUUGGUGCUUUUAAUUGUAUGGUCCAUGGGUCCAAUCAAUUGUGGCUGUGGUUCUCCUUAACUGGAGAUGGGGUUGGGACCUGAUGCGAGACUUGGGAAAAGACAAGCUAGAUUAAGUACAAAAUAGAGUCUGAAAACAAAAUGAGGUUGGACUGGUUAAGAGUGGGUUUCCACAUUCCCCCUUUUGAUGCCUCACUGGCAUCACAACAGAGAGUCCUGUUCACAAUUCCUUUCCAGCCAUAAGGUGCCUUGGCUUACACAGCUUUUACCUCUUCAUCAUCUCAACCUUACCCUAUGCUUACAGCCACAGAGUAUCUAAGUGGAAAGGUCCUUUGGUUUGAUCAUGAUGCAGGCUUGAGGGCUGUAUUUGCAUGAGUCUUAGGAUCUCUUUCUCCUCUGGCUGUUUCCUUUUUUUUCUUGAGGGCUGUAGAAACGAUCCCUUCCAGUCCACUCGAGUUAGCUAUAUCUCGCAAACAAUUAAAGCGGUUUUACAGGACAGAACUGAUGUGAUCGGGAUUACAAAUGUUCCAAGCAUUGUAAGAUGUACUAUACCCUUAAACCAUCUGCCUACUUUGGGAAACCAAGAGGUGACUAAAGACCACAGAUUCAACUCUGUCAUUAUUUGCCUCAUGGGACAAAUGUUCCUGCUUUAAUCUUUCUGCCUUUUGGGAUAAUUUAUAUGGUAUUGCAGUGAGUUUUUUGGUUUUUUUUAAUUGUCGGGUUGUAUUGGAAUAAUUCAGUAAGGACUAUGUUCCAUCUUUCCCAGUUCACAGGAGGGGACAUAGUGGCACAAGGGUCUUCUCUUCAGAAUUUCAUAUGGGCUUAAACUCAUCUUUCAGCUUUCAGUGUGUUCUGUGAGCCGAAGAGAGCCAAGGGAAGGGCAUUCUGGCCGUUUCAUCCUGUUUCAGAGCAUAGUUUUGCUAAUUAGUUUUUUAAAUGUUCCUUUGCUUUAACCCAUCAGGUCUCAGACUGCGGGUGAUAGGGGCGAAGGGAAUUUUAUUACCUAGUCUUUUUGCAGAUAUCUCUAUUUGGUAAAAUGAGUUCCUUGGUCACCAAAAAUAGUGAGUUCUCCUGAGAGUAAUUUUGCUGUCUCCUUGCCUAUAAGGAAAGCUUUCCACCCAUUUUGAGGUGGUCAACCAGUACUAAUACGUGAGAGAAAACCAUUGUGUGCAGCAUCUAUAUAAAGUCAAUCUGUUUAUUAACAAGCAGUCUGCAGGAUGCGUUCCCCAGGGUACUCUAGUACUAGUUAGUACUCUAACUCCACUGUUAGUUUGCUGGCACACUCAGCAUCUUUCAACUUAUUGACUUACCAAUUAUCCAAUUUUGGGGUGCAAACCAGAGAUUCGAGGUAGAGGCGACUGCCCCCUUUUUGUCCACACGUGUAUGGCAAUGCACCAGCCAGCCAAGAAACAGAAAUACAGUGAGGAGAGCAACUGGGAGGUCAUUAGGGACAACUCAGAGUCCAAAUGGGGUUUGGUGGCAUUUUAAAGUUAGCCAAGAUUUUAUGUCUUCCAGAGGGGGGAAAAGGUGGUAACUGGGCUGGGAACUACUGGAAAUGGCUCCGAGGUCCUGUACAAAUCUGUUUUGUCAAAGUCAGCAGUUGUUUUUUUCCCUCCUUCCCCUCCUGACAGGGAGAAUAGGGGUAUUACAUGGACUUCCUAGUAGGAAUGAUUACACCCUGCUGUAAGAGAGGUUCUACAACUGGGCCAAUGCCCAGUUCUUGCUUGGGCAAAAGAGGGUACUGGGACUUUAGAGGAGGGGGUUUGUUGGGGUCUAAAGUUGUCUGCACAGUGGGGCCUGGUGAGGGCAGAGCCUAGAGAAGCAGCGUGGCUCAGUGGAAAGAGCACGGGCUUGGGAGUCAGAG